GAUGAAGAACGCAGCGAAAUGCGAUAAGUAAUGUGAAUUGCAGAAUUCAGUGAAUCAUCGAAUCUUUGAACGCACCUUGCACCCUUUGGUAUUCCGAAGGGUAUGCUCGUUUGAGUGUCAUUGUACUCUCACACUUCUAAUUCCUUUCGGGAUUGGGAGCGGUGGACUUGGGUGUUGCUGCUUUAGUUGUGGCUCACCUCAAAUAAGUUAGUGCAACUCUUGGUUGGACAUAGUACGGCGUGAUAAGUGUCUUCGCCGGCGCCUCUGUAAGGAGGGUGGCCGAUCGGGAGCUCUGUGCUUCAAACCGUCUUCGGACAAUCUUUGACAACUUGACCUCAAAUCGAGUAGGAAUACCCGCUGAACUUAAGCAUAUCAAUAAGCGAGGA
rnacentral:misc_RNA from 1 species